rnacentral:rRNA from 1 species
UACGUAGGGUGCAAGCGUUGUCCGGAAUUAUUGGGCGUAAAGAGCUCGUAGGCGGUUUGUUGCGUCGGCUGUGAAAUCCCGAGGCUCAACCUCGGGUCUGCAGUCGAUACGAGCAAACUAGAGUGUUGCAGGGGAGAGUGGAAUUCCUGGUGUAGCGGUGAAAUGCGCAGAUAUCAGGAAGAACACCCGUGGCGAAGGCGGCUCUCUGGGACGGUACUGACGCUGAGACGCGAAAGCGUGGGGAGCGAACAGG